CGCUUUCUUCGGGGCGGAGCUCGACCGCCGACCAAAGAAAUGACCACCUUCAUCGACGAUCACAAAAAGGAGUUCGGGAUCGAGCCGAUGUGCCAGCAGUUGCCCAUCGCCCCU
rfam:Acidobacteria bacterium RBG_16_64_8 RBG_16_scaffold_76531, whole genome shotgun sequence.